rnacentral:rRNA from 1 species
AAAAAAUAGGGUCGGUUCGGCCGGAUUUCACACAGGUGUUGCAUGGCUGUCGUCAGCUCGUGUCGUGAGAUGUUGGGUUAAGUCCCGCAACGAGCGUAACCUCAUCCUUAGUUGCAUCAGGUAAUGCUGAGCACUUUAAGGAACUGCUAGUGAUAAACUGGAGGAAGGUGGGGAUGAUGUCAAGUCAUCAUGGCCCUUAUGGAGUGGGCUACACACGUGCUACAAUGGUGGCUACAAUGGGCUGCAAAGUCGCGAGGCCAAGCUAAUCCCUUAAAAGCCAUCUCAGUUCGGAUUGUACUCUGCAACUCGAGUGCAUGAAGUUGGAAUCGCUAGUAAUCGUGGAUCAGCAUGCCACGGUGAAUACGUUCUCGGGUCUUGUACACACUGCCCGUCACGCCAUGGGAAUUGGUUUCACUCGAAGCUAAUGACCUAACCGCAAGGAGGGAGUUAUUUAAAGUGGGAUCAGUGACUGGGGUGAAGUCGUAACAAGGUAAGCGUAGUGCU